rnacentral:rRNA from 1 species
CUACGGGCGGCUGCAGUGAGGAAUAUUGCACAAUGGGGGGAACCCUGAUGCAGCAACGCCGCGUGGAGGAUGACGCAUUUCGGUGUGUAAACUCCUUUUAUAUGUCAAGAAAAUGACGGUAGCAUAUGAAUAAGCACCGGCUAACUCCGUGCCAGCAGCCGCGGUAAUACGGAGGGUGCAAGCGCUACUCGGAAUCACUGGGCGUAAAGGACGCGUAGGCGGGUUGGAAAGUCAGGUGUGAAAUCCUACAGCUUAACUGUAGAACUGCACUUGAAACUUCUAAUCUAGAGUAUGGGAGGGGGAGAUGGAAUUAGGGGUGUAGGGGUAAAAUCCGUAGAUAUCACUAGGAAUACCUAAAGCGAAGGCGAUCUCCUGGAACAUUACUGACGCUAAGGCGUGAAAGCGUGGGGAGCAAACAGGGUUAGAUACCCCGGUAGUC